rnacentral:rRNA from 1 species
GACGUAGGGUGCGAGCGUUGUCCGGAUUUAUUGGGCGUAAAGAGCUCGUAGGCGGUUUGUCGCGUCUGCCGUGAAAGUCCGGGGCUCAACUCCGGAUCUGCGGUGGGUACGGGGCAGACUAGAGUGAUGUAGGGGAGACUGGAAUUCCUGGUGUAGCGGUGAAAUGCGCAGAUAUCAGGAGGAACACCGAUGGCGAAGGCAGGUCUCUGGGCAUUAACUGACGCUGAGGAGCGAAAGCAUGGGGAGCGAACAGG